rnacentral:rRNA from 1 species
UAGGUCGAAGGUGUAAGUGCAGCAAUGUAUUUAGCUUAUCGAUACUAAUAGGUCGAGGACUUGACCAA